UCGGCGGAUCAGCCCGCUCCCCGUAAAACGGGACGGCCCGCCAGAGGACCCAAACUCUAAUGUUUCUUAUUGUAACUUCUGAGUAAAACAAACAAAUAAAUCAAAACUUUCAACAACGGAUCUCUUGGUUCUGGCAUCGAUGAAGAACGCAGCAAAAUGCGAUAAGUAAUGUGAAUUGCAGAAUUCAGUGAAUCAUCGAAUCUUUGAACGCACAUUGCGCCCGCUGGUAUUCCGGCGGGCAUGCCUGUUCGAGCGUCAUUUCAACCCUCAAGCCCCCGGGUUUGGUGUUGGGGAUCGGCUCUGCCUCACGGCGGUGCCGCCCCCGAAAUACAUUGGCGGUCUCGCUGCAGCCUCCAUUGCGUAGUAGCUAACACCUCGCAACUGGAACGCGGCGCGGGCCAUGCCGUAAAACCCCAACUUCUGAAUGUUGACCUCGGAUCAGGUAGGAAUACCCGCUGAACUUAAGCAUA
rnacentral:rRNA from 1 species